UCCCAUCAAGGAACUGGUGUCAAACAGUAAGAGCAGUAAAACAGGCUGGUCCACUGCUGGAAGUCACCCUUUAUAAACUCAGUGGCUCGUCUCCAGACUCAGACGUCCAUCAGGGGACUAACUCCGACAAGAGAAAACCUUGAAGGGUGAAGAACGACAACGUGAGCUGAUAUGAAGUUGGGCCUGGUGGUGGCUGUGGCUGUGGCCCUCACGGUGCCAAACCUGUCCGAGGGCCGCAUCGUCCACAAAUGUGAGCUGAAAGAGCAACUGGAGGAGGCGCUCGUUCUGCCCAGAGUGCUUCAGCGACACAAGGAGAGAAUCUUGGAAAUAGUCGUCUGUGAAGCGAACAGGAGGUCCCGUCUGGACACGGGUCUGGUCAGGGUGUUUGGCAAACGCAGGUCUACGACCACCAAGCCACCAACCAAACCAACCAAACCAACCAGACCAACCAAACCAACCAAACCAACC